rnacentral:rRNA from 1 species
AUUGAACGCUGGCGGAAUGCUUUACACAUGCAAGUCGAACGGCAGCACGGGGCAACCUGGUGGCGAGUGGCGAACGGGUGAGUAAAGUAUCGGAACGUGCCCAGUCGUGGGGGAUAACGUAGCGAAAGUUACGCUAAUACCGCAUACGAUCUAUGGAUGAAAGCGGGGGAUCGCAAGACCUCGCGCGAUUGGAGCGGCCGAUAUCAGAUUAGGUAGUUGGUGGGGUAAAGGCUCACCAAGCCGACGAUCUGUAGCUGGUCUGAGAGGACGACCAGCCACACUGGGACUGAGACACGGCCCAGACUCCUACGGGAGGCAGCAGUGGGGAAUUUUGGACAAUGGGCGCAAGCCUGAUCCAGCCAUGCCGCGUGCAGGAUGAUGGCCUUCGGGUUGUAAACUGCUUUUGUACGGAACGAAAAGGUUUGGCCUAAUACGCUGAACUCAUGACGGUACCGUAAGAAUAAGCACCGGCUAACUACGUGCCAGCCGCCGCGGUAAAAC